GAAAGGAGGUAAUGAAUUAUGACUAGAAAAUAGAGGUAUACAGUUUGCGGAUUAUGUUUCAUGAUGCGAUUACUUACGGAAAUUUUGUUUCAUUUUGUAAAUAAAACUAGCGAUAAAUGAUGAAGCUAUUAAAGAUAUACAUUAUAAUGUAUUAAAUUAUUAAUAUAUUAAAUAAAACUAAUUUACAUUUCAACAUAAAGAACUCUACUAAUUUAUAACGUGGCAUCUGAAGUACUGUAUGAGGCAGAAGGUGGCGUCUUCAAUCGUGAGCAGCUCAUUGCGUUUGGAUGUAUUCAGUUGUGUCUAAAGUGAAAUGUUUAGUCGUUUCUACCAUGGCUAGAUUUGAUUGCUAGUUAAACAAAGAAGAUCAAGAUAUGUAUAUUCUGCGAUAAACAACGAUUGAUGUGUGGACAGGUAAUGGAGUAUUAUGAGGUAAAUUAAAACGUCAUAUCGCCGCAUGACGUCCGGUUCAAGUCGAGUAUAAUUGUUAUCAAAAUAUUUUAAUGAGCAUGUAAAGAUAAAAACAAUCAAGCCCUUUAUGUGGUUUAUCGUCUCCAGCAAACUUUAAGCGGGAUUGAAGGCAUUAUUUGGAAUUAUUUCACGUGUAAAUGUUUUUCUAAUCAUUUGUUAUCUUUAGAAAGAAAGUCAUUUUGCUGUUCCUUUGUAAAUAUAUACAUGAGGUAACAGUUAUACGCAGAAAGACUUUUCUGUUUGUACAUAACGUCCAGGCUUAAUUCUAUGUUGCUAGGACAAAUGGCGUUACGGCAGAACUUCCAAUUUGUUAAACGUGCAGAACUACACUACCUGUAGAAAGAGCAUUUUCGUUCAUACUUCUUGGACAGUGUGUCAGGAAUGACACUUGUAGAAGCAAACUAUAUCUUAUUUCUCUGCACCUGCAACUGUUCAGCUCUCUGAUAUGAUUCAAUAACAGCGUGUUAUAUUAUAUCUCGGUUUGUUUUUGGUUGUUUUUAUGAAGUUUAUGGGUAAACCUUUUUCUAUAUUAUUUUGCUCACCUGUCUCAACGAGACUUUCGUCUCAUAGUAGAAUCUAGCUACCAGGAGAAUGCAUGACCUCCUGUUUGCCAUCAGUGUACGCGAGUAUGUGCGCCAUACCUUCAUCUGCAAUUUAGACAGAAAUAAAACCAUUUUGCAAAUGUGGUCAUUAAAAAGACACAUAAACAAUCUUUUAAAAGGGCUUAACUACACCUUAGUAAAGUUAGUUCUUAUAACUGUUUCCGUUAGACAUUUCACGCAAUAGGCUUUCAUUACCAGGCAGUGAUCUCUGCUGGAAAAAUGAACAAAUAACUAUUCUGUUAACUUACUCGUGUUUUUUUUGUUGUAUUAAUCAUGCUAUGUAUGUUAUAGUCAUACUCUUCAAAUGGGAAGACAAUUUAGGAAGUAUAAAUGUUUGAUAGAUAUAACACCUUUAGAUUAUAUUGUACAUACUUAUUUAUUAUAUAUGUUUAUACAUUUAAUUUGAGGAGCAGAUGCCAGAAAUGAUCAGGAAGUCGUGUGUGUCAGCAUAGUGCAUGUUGUAUAUAUUCAGUUACGCAGGUAAAGAAACCUAAUUCAGGAGCAUUUACAUAUUAAUACAAACCUGCCUUAUGGUGGCUGACUGGAAUCUAGAUGCUUUGUGGAAUCAGAACUUUGUGGAAUCAGAACGCCUUGUUCUUCAACACUAUUCGACUGUGCAAUUUAUAACACAGUGGUAGUUGUCGUCGCUUCUAUGAUUCAGUUCCAAGUUCUUUGUUUGACCGCCUAAACCAUUAAGUCGUUUGUUGCAAGAGUUGUGAAGUAUGACCUAAAACUGAAAAUUGUAUUGUUCCAGAUGUUCUGUUGGUCUGUUUUCAUGCGAGUCACACAAUC